rnacentral:tRNA from 1 species
GGAGUUGUGGCUCAGUGGUAGAGCACUUGCCUUGCAUGUGAGAGGCCCUGGGUUUGAUCCUCAGCACCA